rnacentral:rRNA from 1 species
AUUGAACGCUGGCGGCAGGCCUAACACAUGCAAGUCGAGCGGAUGAAGGGAGCUUGCUCCUGGAUUCCGCGGCGGACGGGUGAGUAAUGCCUAGGAAUCUGCCUGGUAGUGGGGGAUAACGUCCGGAAACGGGCGCUAAUACCGCAUACGUCCUGAGGGAGAAAGUGGGGGAUCUUCGGACCUCACGCUAUCAGAUGAGCCUAGGUCGGAUUAGCUAGUUGGUGGGGUAAAGGCCUACCAAGGCGACGAUCCGUAACUGGCCUGAGAGGAUGAUCAGUCACACUGGAACUGAGACACGGACCAGACUACUAAGGGAGGCAGCAGUGGGGAAUAUUGGACAAUGGGCGAAAGCCUGAUCCAGCCAUGCCGCGUGUGUGAAGAAGGUCUUCGGAUUGUAAAGCACUUUAAGUGGGGAGGAAGGGCAGUAAGUUAAUACCUUGCUGUUUUGACGUUACCAACAGAAUAAGCACCGGCUAACUUCGUG